UCAGUCGACUCCUACGGGGAGGCAGCAGUGGGGAAUAUUGCACAAUGGGGGAAACCCUGAUGCAGCCAUGCCGCGUGUGUGAAGAAGGCCUUCGGGUUGUAAAGCACUUUCAGUAGGGAGGAAGGUAGUGUAGUUAACACCUGCAUUAUUUGACGUUACCUACAGAAGAAGCACCGGCUAACUCCGUGCCAGCAGCCGCGGUAAUACGGAGGGGUGCGAGCGUUAAUCGGAAUUACUGGGCGUAAAGCGCAUGCAGGCGGCCUGUUAAGUCAGAUGUGAAAGCCCGGGGCUUAACCUCGGAAUUGCAUUUGAAACUGGCAGGCUAGAGUCUUGUAGAGGGGGGUAGGAAUUUCAGGUGUAGCGGUGAAAUGCGUAGAGAUCUGAAGGAAUACCAGUGGCGAAGGCGGCCCCCUGGACAAAGACUGACGCUCAGAUGCGAAAGCGUGGGGAGCAAACAGGAUUAGAUACCCUGGUAG
rnacentral:rRNA from 1 species